rnacentral:tRNA from 1 species
GGAUUGUAGCUCAGUGAUAGAACACUUGCCUAACAUGUAUGAGGCUCUGGGUUCAAUCCUCAACACCA